CCCUUAGAUGUUCUGGGCUGCACGCGCGCUACACUGAUACUUUCAGCGAGUCCACCACCUUGCCUGGGAGGGUGGGGUAACCUCUGGAAAGUGCAUCGUGAUGGGGAUCGAUUAUUGUAAUUAUUAAUCUUCAACGAGGAAUUCCUAGUAAGCAUGUGUCAUCAGCCCGUGCUGAUUACGUCCCUGCCCUUUGUACACACCGCCCGUCGCUCCUACCGAUUGAUUGAUCCGGUGAAUUACAUAGAAUUUUGCGUUUUACAUGACGGAAGACGAAGUGUUUUAAACCUUAUCAUUUAGAGGAAGGAGAAGUCGUAACA
rnacentral:rRNA from 1 species